rnacentral:rRNA from 1 species
GCGUUAGAUUAGCUAGUUGGUGGGGUAAAGGCCUACCAAGGCGAUGAUCUAUAGCUGGUCUGAGAGGAUGACCAGCCACACUGGGACUGAGACACGGCCCAGACUCCUACGGGAGGCAGCAGUGGGGAAUCUUGCGCAAUGGGCGAAAGCCUGACGCAGCAACGCCGCGUGCGGGAAGAAGGCUUUAGGGUUGUAAACCUCUUUCAGUAGGGAAGAAGCGAAAGUGACGGUACCUAAAGAAGAAGCACCGGCUAACUAUGUGCCAGCAGCCGCGGUAAUACAUAGGGUGCAAGCGUUGUCCGGAAUUAUUGGGCGUAAAGAGCUCGUAGGUCGUUUGUCGCGUCGAUUGUGAAAAUCUGAGGCUCAACCUCAGACCUGCAGUCGAUACGGGCAAACUAGAGUGUGGUAGGGGAGACUGGAAUUCCUGGUGUAGCGGUGGAAUGCGCAGAUAUCAGGAGGAACACCAAUGGCGAAGGCAGGUCUCUGGGCCAUAACUGACACUGAGGAGCGAAAGUGCGGGGAGCGAACAGGAUU